rnacentral:rRNA from 1 species
GGAAUCAGGGUUCGAUUCCGGAGAGGGAGCCUGAGAAACGGCUACCACAUCCAAGGAAGGCAGCAGGCGCGCAAAUUACCCACUCCCGGCACGGGGAGGUAGUGACGAAAAAUAACGAUACGGGACUCUUAUGAGGCUCCGUAAUCGGAAUGAGUACACUUUAAAUCCUUUAACGAGGAUCUAUUGGAGGGCAAGUCUGGUGCCAGCAGCCGCGGUAAUUCCAGCUCCAAUAGCGUAUAUUAAAGUUGUUGCGGUUAAAAAGCUCGUAGUUGGAUCUCGGUUUCACUCAGGCGGUACACCUUGCGGUGUUCACUGUCUGGGUGGACGUUUCUGUUGGUUCGCUCUUGGUGCUCUUCAUCGGGUGCCAUUUGGUGGCCAGCACGUUUACUUUGAAAAAAUUGGAGUGCUCAAAGCAGGCGUUACAGCCUGAACAUUAGUGCAUGGAAUAAUGGAAUAGGAUCUCGAUUCUAUUUCGUUGGCUUUCGGAGUCGAGGUAAUGAUUAAUAGGGACAGACGGGGGCAUUCGUACUGCGACGUUAGAGGUGAAAUUCUUGGAUCGUCGCAAGACGAACUACUGCGAAAGCAUUUGCCAAGAAUGUUUUCAUUAAUCAAGAACGAAAGUUAGAGGUUCGAAGGCGAUCAGAUACCGCCCUAGUUCUAACCAUAAACGAUGCCAACCGGCGAUCCGUCGUCGUUAAUUGAAUGACUCGACGGGCAGCCUCCGGGAAACCAGAGUGUUUGGGUUCCGGGGGAAGUAUGGUUGCAAAGCUGAAACUUAAAGGAAUUGACGGAAGGGCACCACCAGGAGUGGAGCCUGCGGCUUAAUUUGACCCAACACGGGAAAUCUCACCAGGCCCGGACACCGGAAGGAUUGACAGAUUGAGAGCUCUUUCUUGAUUCGGUGGGUGGUGGUGCAUGGCCGUUCUUAGUUGGUGGAGCGAUUUGUCUGGUUAAUUCCGAUAACGAACGAGACUCUGGCCUACUAACUAGAAGGUCUAUCCUUUAUGGGUAGGCCUCUGCUUCUUAGAGGGACGGGCGGCGUUUAGCCGCACGAGAAUGAGCAAUAACAGGUCUGUGAUGCCCUUAGAUGUUCUGGGCUGCACGCGCGCUACACUGAAGGAAUCAGCAUGUUCUCCCCUCCCUGAAAAGGGCGGGUAACCCGUUGAAACUCCUUCGUGAUGGGGAUUGGAGAUUGUAAUUAUUCUCCAUGAACGAGGAAUUCCCAGUAGGCGCGAGUCAUCAGCUUGCGUCGAUUACGUCCCUGCCCUUUGUACACACCGCCCGUCGCUACUACCGAUCGAGUGAUUUAGUGAGGACUUCGGACUGGUCUUCAAGUUGGCUUCGGUCGGCUCGAAGCUCCGGAAAGAUGCCCAAACUUGAUCACUUAGAGGAAGUAAAAGUCGUAACAAGGUU